rnacentral:rRNA from 1 species
UUAACACAUGCAAGUCGAGGGGCAGCAUUUUAGUUUGCUUGCAAACUGAAGAUGGCGACCGGCGCACGGGUGAGUAACACGUAUCCAACCUGCCGAUAACUCCGGAAUAGCCUUUCGAAAGAAAGAUUAAUACCGGAUAGCAUACGAAUAUCGCAUGAUAUUUUUAUUAAAGAAUUUCGGUUAUCGAUGGGGAUGCGUUCCAUUAGUUUGUUGGCGGGGUAACGGCCCACCAAGACUACGAUGGAUAGGGGUUCUGAGAGGAAGGUCCCCCACAUUGGAACUGAGACACGGUCCAAACUCCUACGGGAGGCAGCAGUGAGGAAUAUUGGUCAAUGGGCGAGAGCCUGAACCAGCCAAGUAGCGUGAAGGAUGAAGGCUCUAUGGGUCGUAAACUUCUUUUAUAUGGGAAUAAAGUUUUCCACGUGUGGAAUUUUGUAUGUACCAUAUGAAUAAGGAUCGGCUAACUCCGUGCCAGCAGCCGCGGUAAUACGGAGGAUCCGAGCGUUAUCCGGAUUUAUUGGGUUUAAAGGGAGCGUAGGUGGAUUGUUAAGUCAGUUGUGAAAGUUUGCGGCUCAACCGUAAAAUUGCAGUUGAAACUGGCAGUCUUGAGUACAGUAGAGGUGGGCGGAAUUCGUGGUGUAGCGGUGAAAUGCUUAGAUAUCACGAAGAACUCCGAUUGCGAAGGCAGCUCACUAGACUGUCACUGACACUGAUGCUCGAAAGUGUGGGUAUCAAACAGGAUUAGAUACCCUGGUAGUCCACACAGUAAACGAUGAAUACUCGCUGUUUGCGAUAUACAGUAAGCGGCCAAGCGAAAGCAUUAAGUAUUCCACCUGGGGAGUACGCCGGCAACGGUGAAACUCAAAGGAAUUGACGGGGGCCCGCACAAGCGGAGGAACAUGUGGUUUAAUUCGAUGAUACGCGAGGAACCUUACCCGGGCUUAAAUUGCAACAGAAUAUAUUGGAAACAGUAUAGCCGUAAGGCUGUUGUGAAGGUGCUGCAUGGUUGUCGUCAGCUCGUGCCGUGAGGUGUCGGCUUAAGUGCCAUAACGAGCGCAACCCUUAUCUUUAGUUACUAACAGGUCAUGCUGAGGACUCUAGAGAGACUGCCGUCGUAAGAUGUGAGGAAGGUGGGGAUGACGUCAAAUCAGCACGGCCCUUACGUCCGGGGCUACACACGUGUUACAAUGGGGGGUACAGAAGGCGGCUACCUGGUGACAGGAUGCUAAUCCCAAAAACCUCUCUCAGUUCGGAUCGAAGUCUGCAACCCGACUUCGUGAAGCUGGAUUCGCUAGUAAUCGCGCAUCAGCCAUGGCGCGGUGAAUACGUUCCCGGGCCUUGUACACACCGCCCGUCAAGCCAUGAAAGCCGGGGGUACCUGAAGUACGUAACCGCAAGGAGCGUCCUAGGGUAAAACUGGUAAUUGGGGCUAAG